UAAUACUAGGGGUGCGAGCGUUGUCCGGAAUCACUGGGCGUAAAGGGUCCGUAGGCGUCUCAAUAAGUCAUUUGUUAAAGACACCGGCUUAACCGGUGGCCUGCAUAUGAAACUGUUGAGAUAGAGUAUAGGAGAGGAAAGUGGAAUUCCUGGUGUAGCGGUGACAUGCGUAGAUAUCAGGAGGAACACCAAUGGCGAAGGCAACUUUCUGGCCUAUUACUGACGCUGAGGGACGAAAGCGUGGGGAGCAAACAGGAUUAGAUACCCUGGUAGUCCACGCCGUAAACGAUGAGUACCUGGUGUCGGGGGAUUCGACCCCUUCGGUACCGGAGCUAACGCAUUAAGUACUCCGCCUGGGAACUACGACCGCAAGGUUG
rnacentral:rRNA from 1 species